AACGAACGCUGGCGGCAGGCUUAACACAUGCAAGUCGAACGAGAUCUUCGGAUCUAGUGGCAGACGGGUGAGGAACACGUGGGAACAUCCCUUUCAGUUCGGAAUAACGUUGGGAAACUAACGCUAAUACCGGAUACGUCCUUCGGGAGAAAGAUUUAUCGCUGAAAGAUUGGCCCGCGUCUGAUUAGCUAGUUGGUGAGGUAACGGCUCACCAGGGCUACGAUCAGUAGCUGAUCUGAGAGGAUGAUCAGCCACAUUGGGACUGAGACACGGCCCAAACUCCUACGGGAGGCAGCAGUGGGGAAUAUUGGGCAAUGGGCGCAAGCCUGAUCCAGCCAUGCCGCGUGAGUGAUGACGGCCUUCGGGUUGUAAAGCUCUUUUGUCCGGGAAGAUAAUGACUGUACCGGAAGAAUAAGCCCCGGCAAACUUCGUGCCAGCCGCCGCCGUAA
rnacentral:rRNA from 1 species